rnacentral:rRNA from 1 species
UACAGGGGUGCAAACGUUGCUCGGAAUCAUUGGGCGUAAAGCGCACGUAGGCGGUUCGUUAUGUCGGAUGUGAAAGCCCUUGGCUUAACCGAGGAAGUGCAUCCGAAACUGGCGAGCUAGAGUACGAAAGAGGAUCGCGGAAUUCCGGUGUAGAGGUGAAAUUCGUAGAUAUCGGGAGGAACACCGGUGGCGAAGGCGGCGAAUCUGGUCGAUACUGACGCUGAGUGCGAAAGCGUGGGAGCAACAGG